rnacentral:lncRNA from 1 species
CCACAGAUUCCUCUACAAAACUCUUCUCAUCUUUGUCAUUUAGCUCUGUAAUCUAUGUGAGGUUAUAAAUAAGCAUAUCUAUUUAUGUGUUUACUCAUGUGUUAGCAUAUUUGGUUUGUAUUUAAGUUUGUGUAAGCUUGAUUAAUAUACAUAAAGCUUGUAUGGUUUGUAUUUUAGUUUCUAAAAACCCCAUAUAAGUAUGC